AUUGAACGCUGGCGGCAGGCCUAACACAUGCAAGUCGAGCGGAUGAAGGGAGCUUGCUCCUGGAUUCAGCGGCGGACGGGUGAGUAAUGCCUAGGAAUCUGCCUGGUAGUGGGGGAUAACGUCCGGAUACGGGCGCUAAUACCGCAUACGUCCUGAGGGAGAAAGUGGGGUAUCUUGGGACCUUCUGCUCUCGUAGGAUCCUAGAUCGGAUUGGUUAGUUGGUGGGGUAAGGGCCAACCACGGCGCGGGUCCGUAACUGGUCUGAGAGGAUGAUCAGUAACACUGGAACUGAGACACGGUCCAGACUCCUACGGGAGGCAGCAGUGGGGAAUAUUGGACAAUGGGCGAAAGCCUAAUCCAGCCAUGCCGCGUGUGUGAAGAAGGUCUUCGGAUUGUAAAGCACUUUAAGUUGGGAGGAAGGGCAGUAAGUUAAUACCUUGCUGUUUUGACGUUACCAAAAGAAUAAGCACCGGCUAACUUCGUG
rnacentral:rRNA from 1 species